rnacentral:snRNA from 1 species
GCGCUUGCUUCGACAGCACAUAUACUAAAAUUGGAACAAUACAGAGAAUAUUGGCAUGGCGCCUGUGCAUGGAUGACACACAAAUUCGUGAAGCAUUCUAUAUUUUU